AGAGUUUGAUUCUGGCUCAGGAUGAACGCUAGCGGCAGGCCUAAUACAUGCAAGUCGAGGGGCAGCAGGGGUAGCAAUACUCGCUGGCGACCGGCGCACGGGUGCGUAACACGUAUGCAACUUUCCUUCAACUGGAAGAUAGCCCGAAGAAAUUCGGAUUAAUAUUCCAUAGUUAUAUGAAAUGGCAUCAUUUUAUAUUUAAAGCUCAGGCGGUUGAAGAUGGGCAUGCGUUCGAUUAGCUAGUUGGUGAGGUAAUGGCUCACCAAGGCUACGAUCGAUAGGGGAUCUGAGAGGAUUAACCCCCACACUGGUACUGAGACACGGACCAGACUCCUACGGGAGGCAGCAGUAAGGAAUAUUGGACAAUGGAGGCAACUCUGAUCCAGCCAUGCCGCGUGAAGGAUGAAGGUCCUAUGGAUUGUAAACUUCUUUUGAACGGGAGAAAACCUUCGGUCGUGUACCGAAGCUGAUAGUACCGUUAGAAUAAGGGUCGGCUAACUUCGUGCCAGCAGCCGCGGUAAUACGAAGGACCCGAGCGUUAUCCGGAUUUAUUGGGUUUAAAGGGUGCGUAGGCGGAAUGGUAAGUCAGUGUGAAAUCUUGUGGCUUAACUGCAAAACUGCCAUUGAUACUGCCAAUCUUGAGUACAUUUGAUGUGGGCGGAAUGUGCCAUGUAGUGGUGAAAUACUUAGAUAUGGCACAGAACACCGAUCGCGAAGGCAGCUCACAAAACUGUUACUGACGCUGAGGCACGAAAGCGUGGGGAUCAAACAGGAUUAGAUACCCUGGUAGUCCACGCCUUAAACUAUGAUUACUCGAUGUGUGCGAUACACAGUACGCGUCUAAGCGAAAGCGUUAAGUAAUCCACCUGGGGAGUACGGUCGCAAGAUUGAAACUCAAAGAAAUUGACGGGGGCCCGCACAAGCGGAGGAGCAUGUGGUUUAAUUCGAUGAUACGCGAGGAACCUUACCUGGGCUUGAAAGUUAGUGGAUGCUGUGGAAACAUGGCAGGCCGCAAGGACACGAAACUAGGUGCUGCAUGGCUGUCGUCAGCUCGUGCCGUGAGGUGUUGGGUUAAGUCCCGCAACGAGCGCAACCCCUAUCUUUAGUUGCCAGCGAGUAAUGUCGGGGACUCUAAAGAAACUGCCCGUGCAAACGGUGAGGAAGGUGGGGAUGACGUCAAGUCAGCGCGGCCCUUACGUCCAGGGCUACACACGUGCUACAAUGGCGAGUACAAAGGGCAGCUACAUGGUGACAUGAUGCUAAUCUCUAAAACUCGUCUCAGUUCGGAUUGAAGUCUGCAAUUCGACUUCAUGAAGCUGGAUUCGCUAGUAAUCGAAUAUCAGCAAUGAUUCGGUGAAUACGUUCCCGGGCCUUGUACACACCGCCCGUCAAACAAUGGAAGCUGAGGGUACUUAAAGUCGAUAACCGCAAGGAGUCGCCUAGGGUAAAAUCGGUAACUGGUGUUAAGUCGAAACAAGGUA
rnacentral:rRNA from 1 species